rnacentral:rRNA from 1 species
UACGUAGGGUGCAAGCGUUAAUCGGAAUUACUGGGCGUAAAGCGUGCGCAGGCGGUUCGGAAAGAGAGGUGUGAAAUCCCAGGGCUUAACCUUGGAACUGCACUUCUAACUACCGGGCUAGAGCACGGCAGAGGGGGGUAGAAUUCCACGUGUAGCAGUGAAAUGCGUAGAGAUGUGGAGGAAUACCGAUGGCGAAGGCAGCCCCCUGGGAUGAUACUGACGCUCAUGCACGAAAGCGUGGGGAGCAAACAGG